rnacentral:rRNA from 1 species
AUUGAACGCUGGCGGCAGGCCUAACACAUGCAAGUCGAACGAGUGGCGGACGGGUGAGUCAUGUAUGGGAAACUGCCUGAUGGAGGGGGAUAACUACUGGAAACGGUAGCUAAUACCGCAUACCAUCAGAUGUGCCCAGAUGGGAGUAGCUUGUUGGUGGGGUAAAGGCUCACCACGGCGACGAUCCCUAGCUGGUCUGAGAUGAUGACCAGCCACACUGGAACGGAGACACGGCCCAGAGUCUUACAGGAGUGAGCAUUGGGGAAUAGGGCACAAUGGGCGCAAGCCUGAUACAGCCAGGCCGCGUGUAUGAAGAAGGCCUUCGGUUUGUAAAGUACGUUUAGCGGGGAUGCGUUACCCGCAGAAGAAGCACCGGCUAACUCCGUGCCAGCAGCCGCGGUAAUAC